UUUAAUUAAUAGACAAUUAAAUAAAUAAUAGAGUCCGUAGAUUCAAAUAUUUGUAAUUUGUUAAUCACAAGGAGUUGUGAUUGUGAGAUACAAAUUACAUCUGAUUGAAUCUUCAAUCAUCCGUGGUCGUAAGUAAUAACGAGAUACGGAUAUCGUUAUUACGGAUAGACCAUCACGUGUGGCAUUUCUUACUUGUGAAGUAAGUAGCUGAUCUCACAAGUUAAAGUGUGGUGACACUUAAAUGAACACGUGGAUGUUUGUUAUAGAACGAAACAUUGGAGACCCGUCGAGAGAUUCCACAUGGAUAACUAUCUGAGUGUCGGUGGUUAAUCUCUAACGUUCGGUAGUGAAAUUGGUCCUUUGACUUGAG
rnacentral:lncRNA from 1 species